rnacentral:rRNA from 1 species
AUUGAACGCUAGCGGGAUGCUUUACACAUGCAAGUCUAACGAGUGGCGGACGGGUGAGUAAUAUAUCGGAACGUGCCCAGUAGCGGGGGAUAACUACUCGCAAGUGUGGCUAAUACCGCAUACUAUUGUAGUGGCCGAGAUGGGAUUAGCUAGUUGGGGGGGCAAAGGCUCACCAAGGCAACGAUCCGUAGCUGGUUUGAGAGGAUGACCAUCCACACUGGGACUGAGACACGGCCCAGACUCCUACGGGAGGCAGCAGUGGGGAAUUUUGGACAAUGGGGGAAACCCUGAUCCAGCCAUCCCGCGUGUAUGAGAAGGCCUUCGGGUUGUAAAGUGCUUUUGGCAGAGAAGCGGUAACUGCAGAGUAAGCACCGGCUAACUACGUGCCAGCAGCCGCGGUAAUUC